rnacentral:misc_RNA from 1 species
GGCGAAUCUGGAUCCGGGGGGUGCGGUGGGUGUGGCGUAGGGUUCCGCGGUGGCUCCGGCGGCAUUGCCGUGAUCGGAGUGGCUUCUGGUUUCGGGAGCGGCGCGGUCAGUAGCUGUGGCGGCGUAUUUGGUGGUGAAGGGGGUAUACUCUCUGCCGCUGGUCUCGGGUUUCCUCCUGGACGCGGCGGUAGGGAUGCUCUUUUCGUCGGUGGUGGUUGUGUUGCUGGCGGCGGCUGACUUGCCGACGUCCUCUUAGAGGGUGUUGCCGGUUUUGACCCGAUCAGUGUUGUUGUUUCCGUCGGUGAUGGGGUCUUUGUGGGAGGUGGUGGCGGUGAUGGCCGGUUUUCCGGCUCUGUUGGUGGUGGUGGCUCCGGC